rnacentral:rRNA from 1 species
CGUGUAGGCGGCUCAUCAAGUCUGGUGUGAAAUCUUCAGGCUCAACCUGAGAUAUGCGCUGGAAACUGGUGGGCUUGAGUUCUUGAGGGGAAGCUGGAAUUCCAGGUGUAGGGGUGAAAUCUGUAGAUAUCUGGAAGAACACCGGUGGCGAAGGCGAGCUUCUAUCAAAGGACUGACGCUGAGGCGCGAAAGCGUGGGGAGCAAACAGGAUUAGAUACCCUGGUAGUCCACGCUGUAAACGAUGUGCACUAGGCGUGGGGCACGUACGUGCUCUGUGCCGUAGUUAACGCGAUAAGUGCACCGCCUGGGGAGUAUGCUCGCAAGGGUGAA